AGCAAGGUGACUCCUGGCACUAUAACCACUACAUUGGGCUUCAUGUUGCUUGGAAUGCUUUUUAAAAAUGUUUAUUUAAAGCUAGGAUCUAAACUCUCCCCCUUGAUUUUGAUGGGCUUUUAGUAGACCUACCCAUCAAAAGUAUCCAUUUAAUACUUUAGCUUAUUUUUAAGGUGAUAUGUAUUAAACGUAGCUCACAUUAGUUGUAGGCCUAGUUACAUAGCUGAAAAGAGACUUGCGUCCAUCAAGUUCAGCCUUCCUCUCAAAUGCUUUUGCUGUUG